UCUAGAACAGAAAUAGAAAAAACCCAGGGGUUAACAAUCAUUGCCUCUUUCACCUUCAUUUUGCCCUAGAUUGAAAAAAAUCGAACUCAGCUCCAUUGCGCUGCUACCGCCUUUUCCUCUCCACCGCCGCUGCGCCGCUAGCGCCACUUUGUCUGCCGCCACUUCUUCCUCUCCGCUGCGCUGCUACUGUCUCUCCCUCUCCGCCGUCGGUGCGCAGCUACCGCCACUUCUUCCUCUCUGCCGCUCGACCGCUUCAAUCCGGUUGCUACCGCCUCUUCCUCUCAGCCGCCGCUACCGCCACUUCUUCCUCUCUGCCGCUCCACCACUUCAAUUCAUCCAAAGUCAUAAACAUCUCAUCGAAACCUAGGUACUGAUCUUCUUCCUCUGUGCCGCCCGACCUCUUUUACCAUUUUUUUAAUUUGCUGUCAGCUACAUUUGUGUGAUUGAGAACUCCUUUCAGCCUUACCUUUUUAGAAUUCUGGAAAUAAAGUUGAUUGAAUUGGAGCUUUUUUUAUGGAAGGAUUAUAGGAGAAAUCUAAGCUGCAGGCAAAUUCAAGUUUAUUAAUGUCAAAGAAAGAAAAAUUGAAAGUCCUCGAUGUUUUAAUUCUGAUGAUAUCCAAAAUAAUCCGAUCUGCAUCAGAUUUUGUUCCUGCAUUCUGAAUUGUUAGGCAUAGAGUAAAUGUAGUAUGCAUACUUAAUCAUUGGUUUUGGAAAGCAGAAAAGGAGAUUCAUAGAAAAGUUAAAGCAACAGAAUGCACUCUUACCAUUAGUUAUGCUGCUACUCUUCCAUUAGUUAAAAAAUAUGAAUGCCUGAUUAGUAAAUCAUAUGGUUGACAGGUUGAGUGGUUUGUGAACACAGCUUCUAAAAUGGUCCAUCAAGAAGAAAUUUAAGUUGAUGAAAACUUGUACAAGUUGAUUAUACCAUACUCUAAUAAUUUAUAUGGUUCUACUGUUUUUAAAUGUCUCACUAAGUUUAAGCAUUCUAUCUCAUUCCUGCUAAUCUAUUUAGAAAUAGUUUCAUCUACUAGUUUAAUCUAUAACGAGUUCAUUCUUGCAUAAUCUAUUUAGAAAUAGUUUUCAAUGGUGAUUAGUUAAUAUCCACAUGUGUGCCCUCAUUUAUAUUUUUUUACCAACUAUAUUACUACAGCUUUUAAACCUUCAAUUAGUGCAGUCUAUCCACCGGAAAAGCCUUCAACUAGUGCAGUCCAUCCACUGGUACGUGUUUGUUGAAAUUUGCACUUUAUGAUCAUGCUAAGGAUCCUAUAAGCCCAUGUACUUUUGUAGAUUAACUUCAAGAAUAUUUUCUUAACUUUUGUAUCUUUAUUGUUUGGACUUUUGAAGAUAUCUUCUCGACACCAUUUAUAUGGAAAAUAGACAGCAACAAUGAUCCUCAGGUUGUGAAUGUUAGUUUAUUCUAUGAGGUUAGAGUGCAACGAUGUUUCCAUUACCUUUUUCCUAGUACUACUGUCAGUAGUAAGUCCAUGCCAACCAACUCAAAUUAUAUUCUCAAUUCAGCAGGCUAAUACUCCCGCUUUCAUUAUUAAUAUUAUUUUAGUUGCUUCAACAUAGUGGUUUAGUUUUCUACUGGAAUUUAAAAAACUUGCACAGAAUCUGCAGAAGGUGAAAUAUCUAAUUAUCCAACCAUUUGAGUCAUCCAUCAAAUCUAAUACUAUGAUUCUUCUAGAAAUGUAAUAGUAGUCUGCAAACUGCCCUUUAUGCUAGGUUGAUCAUUCAUGUAUAAAUGUUGUUGGCAGCUUUAUUCAGCAUGGGCAAUUAUAAUUAUUCAAUUAUACUUGCAGACUGAGCAGGGGCACAAGAAGACAAUAAAUUGAUUUUGUAUUCUUAGAAUAGAAUGAAUGUUAAUUAUACUUUUUAUCUCUCAUUUGACUUAGAUGCUGUUGUUUUAUUUGAUUAUAGGGCAUUUACUUUUUACCAAAAGGAACAAAGCUAGGAGGUUUGGAGCUUAGAGCUCAAGUGAAGAUUUUAGCUGCCAAGUUUAUUCAAACAAGAUCAUCAAUGAUCUUUAUUAAUGACGUUUGUGGAGGUAGGAGGUGAUGAAGCAGCUCUUGAUGACGUCCCACAAGUCAAGCCACACUUCUUACGGUUCUGCAGGGUGAUUUACCCAUGUAUCACAAACUUGAUACAAUGUAUUUCUUUUGAACGUCUUACUUUUCAUACUUUUGUGGCUUGUUUUAACUACUUAAUUUUAGUGAUGGAAAUUCCAUCACGAAAUUUUUUUAGUUACAAGGUUUUUAA